rnacentral:lncRNA from 1 species
AGCCCAAGGCCAGCUCGAAGCUCGACCCUCGUAACCGCUGCCUCGACCCUCCAUCCUCAUGCAGCUGUAACCCGGACCAUGACUUCGUAGAUCCGUGGCUGCCGCCAACGCCCCCGAUCUGCCACCAACUCCUGAAAUUGUCUGCCACUGCACCCCGCCGCCGCCGCUUUCUCUCUGCCAUCUCGCCGCCAUGCCACAAUCCUCCACCGAUGUCAAUCUCGUCCACCACUCGCUCCCUUUCACAGCUCCCUCUACCUACCGCGCCUUUCACUGUGCAAGGCUACCGCUAGGUGCGCUAUGUACCUACCUCUAUUGCUCUCUUCCUCCUAGAUCUGCCGAUUGCUUUUUGUUUCUUCUGAUCCCCAAAGUUGUGAUUCUCGUGUUCUGAAUUUUUAUGUAUUUUUUCUGCAGCUAGUGAGCGAUAAGUGUCGAUCUAUCACUUAUUCCAAGGUAACCCUUGAUUCUUCUCCUCCCCGUCAUGAAUUAAUGUGGCCACUUCUGUGUGAUAGUAGUAGAACAAAUCAACGAGUUCUGCAACUUGUACAAAGUUAAUUUGUAUUGGGUUUCAGGGUUUCGUUUUCUUUGUGUUCUGGUUCGAUUUAUAUGCUUAAGGGAGAAUUUCUGAGUUAACAUGCUAUCCUGCUCAUACAUGUAAGAGAGUGUUAAAAGGGGAAUGAAGGUUGAUGGGGGUUAAAGGUGAAGUGGUAGUACUGAGAGAUUGCUCGAUGAUUGCCUAAAUAAUGUGUAUAGAUAACUGAGAGCUAAACUGAAAUUGUUAAGCAGUCCUACAUGUCUAGGUUGUCAUCAUUUGCUGAGUAGAAGCUGCUGAGCUUUUGUCUUUCAGUUCAGCAAUGGUAUUUUUGCCCAACCCGUUGCUUGUAUGCUAUCAGGUUCAAGAAAAUCUGCCGGUAUCUUCAGUUUAUAGAUCAGUACAAUUUUUUAAUCAAUUGGCCAACUUUUUGGUUAAAACAGGUGGAUCCAUGUAAACUAACCCUGCCAUGAAAUAAAUAUUUUUAGGGUCCCAGGUUGCACCCUGUUUUCAGUGGACAAUAUAUUACUUAGCUGCUGGACACUAGUUUGUCUGUAGGUGAUUAAUAGGGAAGCUAUGUCUAGGUAUGUAUAGGUGAAGCUAUCCUCAUGGAGACAAUUUACAUCCGAGGCAGCCAUCAAAACCAAUAGUUAAACACACACUUCCAGGUGCUUUAGUUUUCAGCCAAUGAAAAUGAACCGAACCAAUACCUAGAUAAGAGAGUGAAACUGAAACUAUAUGGUAAUCCAUCACAUUUCAGAGUGUUAUCUUUGCUCUAUCAAAUGGUGUUGUGGAAGUGCAGACCAUGCACACAAGGAAUGAAUCACACUAAAAUUGAUCUAGCUAUGAACUGAAACUACUUGACUGUAUAAUUCUUUCAAGAAUUAUUUCUUAUAACUCAUAUAUGUAGGUGGAACAGAAGUCCAUGGCGAAUUCAGCCUCACUGCCUCACUACCACAAGUGGAUUGAACUUCAAUACAUUUUCUUGGGAGUAUCUAAGGUUUGUAGCUUCUUCUCCUCUUGCCCAAGAUCUGGUUUUGGUUGCUAUGCCAUGGCGAUGGAUUGGAUAGUUUGCUGCCACUGUAUGUAGCUCAGUAGUGUUAUUUGCUAAACCUUCUCUCCUAGUAGGUGCUAGAGCCGGUCCUGAGGCUUCUCGUUACUGCGGCUCAGCUCAAAGGCAAGUAGGCGAUGUACGUGCAUUGUUGCUGAUAUUUAUCAAAUGAAAAUCUACUGGAAAGUUUGCCAUGUAGGGAGCUGAGGGUGCUCCUUCUCUAGUAUCUCUUUUAACUUUUCCUGUAUGUGUUUUGUUUGCUAUGAACACUUCUAGUACAUUAUCUCAAGGUUCUGACUACUCUUUACUUUUGUAAAUGCAGGUGGAGGGGGAUGAUAAAGGCCAAUCUCAUGGCAACAAGCAGGCUGAAUUAAAUCCCAAUAGGUAUUACCAAAAACUGCUACAAUGGGAGUCUGAUUUCUUGGUAUAUCUAUGCCUUGCCAGUUGAUAGUUACUCUAGCAGAACAUUUUUGUUACGCACUGCAUCUUCCUCUUAUUUUUAUUACAUCAUGGUUUUCUUAUUGCCAUUCUUAUUUGUGCUUGCGAGUUUGUGUCAUGGUGUUCUGAAGAUGAUUUUUGAGAAUGCUAUAUACAUGUAGUAUUGCUGGCUUUGUUAAUGUCUUAUAGUAGAGUGCCAUGUUCACCUGUGAAAGCAAAUUCACACAUGCAUCUCCUCUUAUUACAUCUAAAAUUUUCACAUAUGUAAAAAAAAUAUGUGACCCUUUUUUAAGAACUAGAAAACUGACAAUAUACAUAUUGAUUAUUUAUUGUACAACACUUUCUUUCAGGUUGAUACGUUGCACAAGUUCUUCUACAGUCCAAGUUGGUGCCAUCUAGAACUAUUGAUUUUCAUUUCUGUGUUAAUGCUUGAUGGAUAGCAUUGUUAUUAACUUUUGUAUGAAGUUUGUGUUUUAGAAGUAUAUUUAUGCUCCCGUUCACUGCUGGAUAAAGUAUUGUGUUUCUCCAGAAGUGAUCUUGUUAUUGACACAUAUGUAUGAAGUGUUGAAUUAUAUUUGUGCUUGACAUAUCAUGGUUUACUUUUAAAUGGAAAGUUUGGAACUUGCAGCU